AUACGUAGGUGGCCAGCGUUGUCCGGAUUUACUGGGUGUAAAGGGCGCGUCGACGGAAGGCCAAGUCUGAUGUGAAAGCCCGCGGCUCAACUGCGGGACUGCAUUGGAAACUGGUCAUCUGGAGUGCAGGAGGGGUAAGCGGAAUUCCUAGCGUAGAGGUGAAAUGCGUAGAUAUUAGGCGGAACACCGGUGGCGAAGGCGGCUUAAUGGACUGUAACUGACGUUGAGGCUCGAAAGCGUGGGGAGCAAACAGGAUUAGAUACCCGGGUAGUCCACGCCGUAAACGAUGAAUACUAGGUGUCGGGUUUCUAUAGAGAUUCGGUGCCGCAGCAAACGCAAUAAGUAUUCCACCUGGGGAGUACGUUGGCAAGAAUGAAACUCAAAUGAAUUGACGGGG
rnacentral:rRNA from 1 species